rnacentral:rRNA from 1 species
UACAGAGGGUGCGAGCGUUAAUCGGAAUUACUGGGCGUAAAGCGUGCGCAGACGGUCAUGUAAGUCGGGUGUGAAAGCCCCGGGCUCAACCUGGGAAUUGCAUUCGAGACUGCAUGGCUAGGGUGCGGAAGAGGGAAGCGGAAUUUCCGGUGUAGCGGUGAAACGCGUAGAUAUCGGAAGGAACACCAGUGGCGAAAGCGGCUUCCUGGUCCAGCACCGACGUUCAGGCACGAAAGCGUGGGGAGCAAACAGG